CCUACGGGAGGCAGCAGUGGGGAAUAUUGCACAAUGGGCGAAAGCCUGAUGCAGCGACGCCGCGUGAGCGAUGAAGGAUUUCGGUAUGUAAAGCUCUAUCAGCAGGGAAGAAAGUGACGGUACCUGACUAAGAAGCACUGGCUAACUACGUGCCAGCAGCCGCGGUAAUACGUAGGGGGCAAGCGCUAUCCGGAUUUACUGGGUGCAAAGGGAGCGUAGACGGCUUGGCAAGCAAGAAGUGAAAGGCGGGGGCUCAACCCCAGGACUGCAUUUGGAACUGUCAUGCUAGAGUGUCGGAGAGGCAGGCGGAAUUCCAAGUGUAGCGGUGAAAUGCGUAGAUAUUAGGAGGAACACCGGUGGCGAAGGCGGCCUGCUGGACGAUAACUGACGUUGAGGCUCGAAAGCGUGGGGAGCAAACAGGAUUAGAUACCCCAGUAGUC
rnacentral:rRNA from 1 species